GACGAACGCUGGCGGCGUGCUUAACACAUGCAAGUCGAACGGAAAGGCCCUGCUUGCAGGGUACUCGAGUGGCGAACGGGUGAGUAACACGUGGGUGAUCUGCCCUGCACUUCGGGAUAAGCCUGGGAAACUGGGUCUAAUACCGGAUAGGAGCCAUUUUUAGUGUGAUGGUUGGAAAGUUUUUUCGGUGUAGGAUGAGCUCGCGGCCUAUCAGCUUGUUGGUGGGGUAAUGGCCUACCAAGGCGGCGACGGGUAGCCGGCCGGGGGGGGUGGACGGCCGCAGUGGGGCUGGGGGGCGGCGCAGGCGGGGACGGGGGGGAGCAGGGGGGAAGAUUGCACGAGGGGCGCGAGCCGGAUGCAGCGAGGCCGCGGGGGGGAGGACGGCCUUCGGGUUGGAAACGCGUUGCGCUAGGGACGAAGCUUUUUGUGACGGUACCUAGAUAAGAAGCGCCGGCUAACUACGUG
rnacentral:rRNA from 1 species